AAAUUAUGAUGCAAAAUUAAUUCCGGUACGAGACCGUGGCUUUCUUGUGCAGACUAUUGAAUUUGCUGAGCAGCGGAUACCAGUAUUGAAUGAAUACUGCGUAGUCUGUGAUGAACCCCAUGUAUUCCAGAACGGCCCUAUGCUGAGGCCUACUGUUUGUGAACGGGAGCUCUGUGUAUUUGCUUUCCAAACGUUAGGCGUGAUGAA